CCAUGGGGCCAGGCACGCAGCUCCAACUGAUUUCUCAUCAUAACCGUAAGACAUCUGGGGAGCGAAGUUCUAGAAAAACAAGAGAGAGUCGGCAGAAAAAUCAGGGUCAGGACAGUCCCACAGAAAGGCAGAAGACAUCAGCAAUAAGGGGCCAAAUGACACGAUGUGCUUCUUGAUGGGAUGUGCUGGGACCAGUGAAAAAGAUUGUGAAAUAUGCCUGACCCAAACGCCUCACCCGGAUCUAAUUAUUCCGACAAUCCUCAACAGAGGGGGAGAAGAACUGGCCUCUAAGGAGUAACUGGGCUCUUCAGAAACUUCCGGUGUUGGGAAGGACAAGCAGAGUCUCAGAAAUGGCCCACAUUCGUGGGGACUAAAGAGACAGGACCACUAAAGGCAACUAAGGAUCCUGGAUUAGGAAAACAAAAUGCCGGAAGGAUAUUACUAGGACAUUGGCGAAAUGUGAAGGUGGACUGCAUAUUAGAUCAUAGUUUUAGAUGAGGGGAAAAAUGCUGUGUACAUAGACAGAGAUCCCGAGCAGAUGUGAUCAACUGGGAAGGGUAUGUGGAAGUUCUCUGCAUCAUUCUUGCAACUUUUCCGUAUGUUUGAGAUUAUUUAAAAAUAGUUAUGUUACCUGACCCCCUCCAAAUAAAAAAAAAGAAAGAGAAGAAAAAGAAAACCAAAGCUAACCCGGGAGAAGGGGCGCACACAGGCCCGCCCACCCUCUCUACUUACUCCACCAAGGCCAGGAGGGCCGGGAGGUCCACAAAGCUGAACAUGUCUAGACCCUAGACAUGUAGACUCUUGCGGCUGGGGUGGGGGGUUAGCGUCGGCUCAUGCGUGGCCUCACACUCCGCGUGCCUCCUGUUCCGACCCCGGGGAGAGACUCCGGUCUGCUCCCCACGGCUGGCCCGGGCCCCUUUUUAUAUCAUCCUGGCAGAGCACUGGGAGGAACCCUGGCCGGUGGAGAGGGGGAGCAGGCCGCCCGGCCCCCCAGCCAAUCAGAGCUGCCUGGCCCGGCCCCCAAUUUGGACCGGAGAGGGGGAGGAGGAGGGAAGGAAGGAAGGAAAGGGAGUCCACCCGAGUUCUCCCCCCUUUGCCACUCAGCUCCCCAGCCCCCAGCCCAGCCUGGGCCAGAGAUGCUGCCGCUGGGGUUUCACGGGGUGGGCAGGGGUGCCCUUGGUGCUUUCUUGCUGGGACCUCCAAUCUGAGAGCAUGGAAUUGGGGAAGGGUUAGGAGUAAGUGGAAGAGCCCCCCC
rnacentral:lncRNA from 1 species